rnacentral:rRNA from 1 species
CCAGACUCCUACGGGAGGCAGCAGUGAGGAAUAUUGGUCAAUGGUCGGGAGACUGAACCAGCCAAGCCGCGUGAGGGAGGAAGGUACAGAGUAUCGUAAACCUCUUUUGUCAGGGGACAAAGACUGGGACGCGUCCCCGGAUGAGUGUACCUGAAGAAAAAGCAUCGGCUAACUCCGUGCCAGCAGCCGCGGUAAUACGGAGGAUGCGAGCGUUAUCCGGAUUUAUGGGGUUUAAAGGGGGCGCAGGCGGGCGGGUAAGCCAGGGGUGAAAGCGCGGGGCCCAACCCCGGGCCCGCCGUUGAAACUGGCAGUCUCGAGUUGGAGAGAAGUAUGCGGAAUGCGCGGUGUAGCGGUGAAAUGCGUAGAUAUCGCGCAGAACUCCGAUUGCGAAGGCAGUAUGCCGGCUCCACACUGACGCUGAGGCACGAAAGCGUGGGUAGCGAACAGGAUUAGAUACCCGAGUA